UACGUAGGGGGCAAGCGUUGGCCGGAUUUAUUGGGCGUAAAGGGCGCGUAGGCGGUGCGGUAAGUCUGAUGUGAAAUCUCCGGGCUCAACUCGGAGUCUGCAUCAGAAACUGCCGUGCUCGAGUGUGGGAGAGGUGAGUGGAAUUCCCGGUGUAGCGGUGAAAUGCGCAGAUAUCAGGAAGAACACCCGUGGCUAAGGCGGCUCUCUAGUACGGUACUGACGCUGAGACGCGAAAGCGUGGGGAGCGAACAGG
rnacentral:rRNA from 1 species